GGGGGUCUUGCUUAACCUCUCAAUAUGGUCUCUACAGGUUCUCCCUCCCAUUUGUUAGGCAUUCUAGCUAAUCUCUAGUCAACUUUCAUUUGUGAGGAAUAUUUUAUGGAUCUACCAUGAGGACCUGAGUUCAAAUCCCAAGAACCCACAUAUAAAUGAGUGAUUAGGGCUCUCACUGGAGAUUGCUGGCCACUGAUUUAGCUUCAAUUUCUGUUAGAGACCUUAUUUUAAGGGAAUAAAGUAGGCAGCAUCAAAAACAGCUACCUAAUAUCCUCCUCUGUUCUCUGGGCAUGUACAUACAUCACAUACAAAUACUACUCUCUCUCUCUCUCUCUCUCUCUCUCUCUCUCUCACACACACACACACACACACACACACACACACACAAAUACUUCUCUCUCUCUCCCUCUCUCUCCCCCCCUCUCUCACUCCCCUCUCUCUCGCUCACAUAUCUUUCUAUCUUUCCCACCCUUUCUCCUUCUAUCUCUCUUUUUUUCCUACACACACACACACACACACACACACACACACACACACACACACAGAGGACUUUUUGAAUUUUCUAGUUCCAUGUUGCUUAACAGUCUUGGCACCAGUCUGCCUGUUUCAUUCGCUUCAACAUGCAGAAAGAAGAUAUAAGGAUAAAGCUUCAAGACUCAGCUGAGAAAUCUCUGCUAAACAUGGAACAUUAUUAUGGCCACAUGCUAUACACUUUGGCUAAACGUCUUAGCACUGUGUAGCAGGGGUGCUCUUCCAGAAAGUCUCCCUUAACACUUCGCCCACUGCCAUCUACAUCCACAGAGUGAAGACACAUGGGCUUUCCCCUACAUGCCAUCCUUAUAUCAGUGUCAGAUCUGAAGAUGCUGUAAGACUAAAGUGUCCCUUAUCUGCUCAGCACGUCCUAUCUCAGAAGGGAAGGACCAUGGGAAAGAGGGACAUCAGUGUAGAAAGGUAGCUCAGGAGUCCUUACAUGAACAGUACAGCAGAGACAGCACCCUGUGCCCUCUGCAUCCUCCUGCACUCCACUCACCUUUACCUUCUACCCCAUCUUAUCUCCUGGCCACCACACCACCACCUUGCCACCUGCCUGUGGCCCUUUGUUCAGUCUCCUCUGCUACCAACAAGCAGUUCCUUCCACAUAUCCUCUUGCAAAACUGAAGGGCCCUUCAAGAUCC
rnacentral:lncRNA from 1 species